AUAUUUUUGUAGAAUUUUAUUUUUUCUAUAAAACAGUCUGAAUUUACAAACUAUGGAUCUGUUGAAAUAAUUUAUUUUUGUUUUUGAUUUGACACACAUUUGUAUUAUUAUAUCUAAUUGGGCAUUGUUCUUGUGCUGUGAAGUUUAGUAUAUAGGUUGUUAUAUUAUAAAGUUCACAUUAGUCACAAGUACUUUUACACAGCCCUUCCCCUGCACUUAGUCGGACAAUCACUGCCAUAGCUAGUCAUUACUCGGGCAUUUCUUCUUUAUUUGGGCAUUGCCGUAUACAAGCCCUUUUUUCAAUGGCAUAAUAAAUAAAGCAUUCCGUUUUACAAAAUUCUAAAGAUAGCAUUCCAGCGCUUUUUGAAACAACCAUUUAAUUUACUUGGCUUCAUAAAUUUGUUUUAUUAUUAGAUUUUCCUAUAUAGACUCAGUAAUGAAAUAGAAUUAAAAUCUUACUAAAUUGGCCUACCUAAAUUCUGAAUGAUUAAAGAAAAGGGAUUUAUAUUAACUGCUAUUAUAUUUAAUACAAGAUCAAUAGAAAGCUAACAAAUCUUAUUCUUUUGUUCCCUACAUAAACUCUUUACUGUUGGAGAAUAAAAGUACGUUGGCUCUGUUUACAGUCGUGACACAGUAGGAUUUAAUUAAAGUACAUGAUGUUAAUUGUCGGUCUUGUAUAGAGGAAAAAACAAAUCAAAAUGAGAAAAACCCAUGUCUUGUCAAUUUCUAAGGAUGCAUAUGUUUCAUUUUAUGUAUGUUUAAUUUUUGCAACAGAACCAAGAGGAAAUUGGUUAAGUUCUGAGUGAUAUGUUACAAGUAUUUGUUCUGUAAACAACGAGACUGCGGUAACUGCUGUGUUGCAUCAGUAACAUGAUUGUCUCAAGUGUCACUCUUCCUGCUCUUAAUCAGAAGUACGUACUAAUGGGGUGACCAGUAGAUGACGGGGAGGAAUUAUACUGACUACGUCCUCACAGCAGCACUGAGCACACAUUGUACCAACCAGUACAUUGUAUUUUACUUGGGUUCCAACUCAAGAUAGAUCCAUCAGAUUAAACUCAGAAUGGUCAUAUGAUCCUUUUGUGUGAUAAUCUCGACACAAAUCAUUAUUCAAUCAUUAAAGCUGAAAGGCUUUAAUCUGCUCAUCAGCUAGUAUUAUAUUUGACUACUUUAAUUAUCAGUAUCUGUUUGUAAUGGGGAAUUUCUGCUUGUAUCCACCUAAGUGAUCCGUUAGGUAAAUCAAAGCUCAGACAUAGUUCAAUUUGGUAAGAGAUUAAGUUUACAUGGUUAUUGGCAGUCAAUUCUUUAUUACCAGUACAUGGGUUUUAAUAUGUUAUUUCAAAAGAUUUAGUACACUAGAGGUUUCUUUUCUUUUUGAAUGUAAUGUUAAUAAAAAUGUGCAAAUACAUGUAUGACUGUAGCUACAUAUUGCGUGCAAAUAUGAAACAUGAAGCAGUAAAUGGAUGCAAGUGUUACGGUGUUAAGAGGUGCAAUAUUGUUGUUACUGAAGAAAACCCUGAAUUUGUGGAGUGUUUCAAACCAGAAUGAUCUCAGCUUGUAAAACAAAAUCUGUAACACAUGGGUUUGAUUUGAACUCCACUGAAGGGACUUCUCAAAAUUAAUUUUUUGACAAAUACUCAACAUGUGCAAGAUCUCCACAUCCUAUGAUGGGGCGUUUUUCUUGGCUCUAUUUAUGAUUUGCAUGCAACAGUACUCAGCUUGCAGGUUGAUGUUACUGUGACAUGUUCAGUGGGAGAGAUUUACCCAUAUGGAACAAGUUGAUUACAGUGACCUUUUAGAUUGAUGUUGAAGUUGUGUAUGUAAAUGUCAGAUUGUGAAUGGUCACAGCAAGUGAUGAUUUGUUGUGCAGAAUAGCUCCAAAUUGAUGUCAGUUUGUUGUUCUUGUUGUAUGAAUGACCUAGUUUUAGUACAGACAUGUACAGUACAGAUAUUAUGGAAAAUGAGUUUGGACCAAUACCUAUGACAUUCACCAAAAUGUUGCUCAAUAAAUCUUGCAUAAA
rnacentral:misc_RNA from 1 species